rfam:Candidatus Roizmanbacteria bacterium RIFCSPLOWO2_01_FTLL_40_42 rifcsplowo2_01_scaffold_1659, whole genome shotgun sequence.
GGGCCUGUGGCUCAAUUGGCAGCGCGUCUGGCUGGCAGUCAGAAGGUUACGGGUUCGACUCCCGUCAGGUCCA